GACGAACGCUGGCGGCGUGCUUAACACAUGCAAGUCGAACGGAAAGGCCCUGCUUGCAGGGUGCUCGAGUGGCGAACGGGUGAGUAACACGUGGGUGAUCUGCCCCUUACUUUGGGAUAAGCCUGGGAAACUGGGUCUAAUACUGGAUAGGACCAUGCUGUAGGUGGUGUGGUGGAAAGAUUAGUUUCGGUAAGGGAUGAGCUCGCGGCCUAUCAGCUUGUUGGUGGGGUAAUGGCCUACCAAGGCGUCGACGGGUAGCCGGCCUGAGAGGGUGGACGGCCACAUUGGGACUGAGAUACGGCCCAGACUCCUACGGGAGGCAGCAGUGGGGAAUAUUGAACAAUGGGCGCAAGCCUGAUGCAGCGACGCCGCGUGGGGGAUGACGGCCUUCGGGUUGUAAACUCCUUUCAGCCAUGACGAAGCCCUUGUGGUGACGGUAGUGGUAGAAGAAGCACCGGCUAACUACGUG
rnacentral:rRNA from 1 species